AGAGUUUGAUUCUGGCUCAGAACGAACGCUGGCAGCGUGGAUUAGGCAUGCAAGUCGAACGGGAGUCUUGAUGGCAGCAAUACCAACAGGACUUCAGUGGCGAAAGGGUGAGUAACGCGUGGGCAACUUGCCUCUGAGUUGGGGAUAACCUCUCGAAAGGGGGGCUAAUACCGAAUGUGGAGUUCCGCGGCAUCGCGGGAUGGCUAAAGGUGGGGACCCUUCGGGGCCUGCCGCUCGGAGAUGGGCCCGCGUCCGAUCAGCUUGUUGGUGGGGUAACGGCUCACCAAGGCUAUGACCGGUAGCUGGUCUGAGAGGAUGGUCAGCCACACUGGGACUGAGAUACUGCCCAGACUCCUACGGGAGGCUGCAGUCGAGGAUCAUUCGCAAUGGGCGCAAGCCUGACGAUGCGACGCUGCGUGGAGGAUGAAGGCCUUCGGGUUGUAAACUCCUGUCAUGAGGGAAAAAUGGCCUCGUCCCUAAUAUGGGCGAGGCGUGAUGGUACUUCAGGAGGAAGCCACGGCUAACUCUGUGCCAGCAGCCGCGGUAAUACAGGUGGCGAGCGUUGUUCGGAUUUACUGGGCGUAAAGGGUGCGUAGGUGGCUUCGUGUGUCGGUUGUGAAAUCCCAUGGCUCAACCAUGGAAUGGCGUCCGAAACUGCGAAGCUUGAGUGCAGCAGGGGAGAGCGGAACUCUUGGUGUAGCGGUGAAAUGCGUUGAUAUCAAGAAGAACACCGGUGGCGAAGGCGGCUCUCUGGGAUGUUACUGACACUGAGGCACGAAAGCUGGGGGAGCAAACAGGAUUAGAUACCCUGGUAGUCCCAGCCCUAAACGGUGCGCACUUGGUGUUGGCGGUGUUGACCCCGCCAGUGCCGGAGCUAACGCGUUAAGUGCGCCGCCUGGGGAGUACGGCCGCAAGGCUAAAACUCAAAGAAAUUGACGGGGGCCCGCACAAGCGGAGGAGCAUGUGGCUUAAUUCGAUGCAACGCGAAGAACCUUACCAGGGCUUGACAUGUAACUGCACGCCCCGUGAAAGCGGGGUUCCUUCGAGGGUGUUACACAGGUGCUGCAUGGCUGUCGUCAGUUCGUGCCGUGAGGUGUUGGGUUAAGUCCCGCAACGAACGCAACCCCUGUGGUUAGUUGCCACCGUAGGUGAUGAGCCUGCGAGCACUCUAGCCAGACUGCCCGUACAAGCGGGAGGAAGGUGGGGAUGACGUCAAGUCAGUAUGGCCCUUACGCCCUGGGCUGCACACGUGCUACAAUGACCGGUGUAGAGGGAUGCGAGACCGCGAGGUGGAGCAAAUCCAUAAAACCGGCCUCAGUUCGGAUUGUAGUCUGCAACUCGACUACAUGAAGUUGGAUUCGCUAGUAACGGCGCAUCAGCUACGGCGCCGUGAAUACGUUCCCGGGCCUUGUACACACCGCCCGUCACAUCAUGAAAGCCGUCUGCACCCGAAGCCGCUGAUCCAAUCCGCAUUAGUAGAAGGAAGGCGUCUAAGGUGUGGGUGGUGAUU
rnacentral:rRNA from 1 species